CUGUAACAAACGAAAGCAAAAGUUAAACUGAGUUGAAAUUAUAAAGGCUGUGCUGAAAACCGAAAAGACUCCAUCUGUCUUUAUAAGAGUGAGAUAUUGUCAGAAAAAAAGGAGACCAUGAGUCAGCGCAGCUCUAAACAAUUUAAAGGUUCAGACAGACAACUUGUGCCUUCGGGACAAAAUCAAGCUAAACAGAAAAUUAUGAAACAGCCUUCGGAAGAGGUGAAAGUUGUUGUGAGCGGAAAGCAACGUGUGCGUGCUACGGAUGGAUCAGAGUACACCAUCAAAGAAGAAUACAAAUGGAGCAUAGAAAAACAAUAAGACCACUGAUGAAGAAAUAAAGCAGAGAGGAAGAAAUGAUCAAAUUCAAUCAAAUUUCCACAACCUGCCAUAAACUGUGUUGCUUAUUAACAAGUUCUCGCAUAAAUGAACUUAGUCUUUAAAAACAGGAUGUACAACAUUUUGAAUAAAAUGAGAAGAUUUACCA